rnacentral:rRNA from 1 species
GACAGAGGAGCCAAGCGUUGUCCGGACUGACUGGGCGUAAAGCGCCCGCAGGCGGUCGUGCGCGUGGGGUGUGAAAGCGCUCGGCUUAACUGAGCGAGGCCAUCCCAUACGGCGCGACUCGAGCCGUCCAGAGGCCGGUGGAAUUGCCGGUGUAGUGGUGAAAUGCGUAGAGAUCGGCAGGAACACCCAGGGAGAAAUCAGUGGACUGGCACGGUGCUGACGCUCAGGUGCGAAAGCGUGGGGAGCGAACCGG